rfam:Myotis lucifugus cont2.37789, whole genome shotgun sequence.
GGCGGUUCUCGGAUGAUGCACCCCAGAAUUGGGCUCCCUCCUCUCUGGUUCCAGGUACGUCACCUGAGAACCGCA